CCCUAUGGGGUGCAGCAGGCAUUGGAGGAAAAGCUGUAGGCUUCGCCGCUGCCUUUGAUGACGUCAAUAUCUACCCAGAAAGUGCCCUUGGUAUCUGCGCCGGUACCAAAGCGGACUCCAUUCUGGUUUACCAGCAUCCAGUGACCGGUGUAAUCACCUGAUGAACUCGGGGCGACCAUGGCAAUGCUGAUGUCGAUACUCUCGCCAGGUUUGACAGCCUUGGGCAGGUCAAUGAUCUUGGGAGCUGAAAGCUGGUCACCCUUGACAAAUGCAAUAUCAUAUUCUGUGGUCCAGGUGCAGGAACCGAUAUUCUGUAGCCGCCAGGUCUUGGUAAAGCUUGUUCCCGCAACAAUAUCAGUGCCAUCAGGGAUUGAAACAUCACUGACAAAACUCACCCAGUUGCAGGGCACGGGUGUUGGGGUUGGCGGAAUGCGUGUUGGCGGGGGGGC
rnacentral:rRNA from 1 species